GAAAUAGAAAUCAUACCAAAACAGCGGUUAUAUUUGACUUUCUAAUUAGCAGUCUGACUUGCUUUGAGAUUUGCAGGGUCUCCCAUGUUCUUCUGAUUCCAGUACUCUGUCACUCCGGCUUAACUCUUCGAUUUCUUACGCUUCUUCUGGCGGAGCUUUUAGCUUUACAUUCAAUAUUCCUUUUCCUCUCUGGUUUAGGUUCUAGUUAUGCAAAUGUAUAACCUGGCCUUGGCCGGUUCCCCAGUCCUCACCCUCCCCGUUCGUUGAUGCAUUCUAGAUCUAGGGUUUCUGCUAUCCAGUCAGUAUUUUCUGAAUUUCUGUUCACAUUUGGUUUCCUUUUGAGUCCAAUCAUCAUGGGGAUGGGAGACUGGGAAGAUCUUGCUCAAUCAGUACUCUUAGGUCUCAUUUUCUCAUUCCUUUUGGCGAAGCUUAUAUCCAUGGUCAUUUCAUUUAGAGGUGAUAACCUUAGGUUAGCACGGGAAGAACAUAUACUAUCCAUUUCAGUUGAAGCUGAAUCAGAAGCAGAAUCUUCGUUUGCUGUGAAGGAACCUGGUGAAGUCUCUGAAAAAUCAAGUGACCCUGCAGAAGAACGGCUCUGUGGUAGUGAAGGAAGUCAUGAUAUCACUGAGGAGCAGAGCGAUAGCCAUUCGGAAGUAGAAGAUGAUGAUGAUUGGGAAGGAGUUGAGACUACAGAGCUCGAUGAAACAUUUAGUGCUGCUGCGGCUUUUGUGGCGGCGGCGGCUGCUGAUCGUCUGUCACAGAAAGUGUCUACUGAUGUUCAAUUGCAGCUAUAUGGUCUCUAUAAGAUUGCCACCGAGGGUCCUUGCAGCACACCACAACCCUCUGCCCUCAAGAUAUCGGCUCGUGCCAAGUGGAAUGCAUGGCAGAAGAUGGGUGCUUUGCCUCCAGAAGAAGCAAUGCUGAAGUAUAUAAUGAUAGUUGGCGAGCUAUAUCCUUCUUGGGCAACUGGAUCUAUUGUGAAACGUAAAGAUGGAGGCAAUGAUGCACCUGGUUCAUAUGCCAAAGGACCAAUGGGACCAGUUUUCAGUUCCUUUGCUUAUGAGGAGGAGUCCAGAAAUGAAUUGAAGAUGGAAUCUAUACAUGCCUCUGCAAGGGAAGGAGAGAUUGAUAGCUUGCUUAAAGAUAUAGCUAGCGGUGUUUCAGUUAAUCUGAAAGAUAGUGAUGGCCAAACCCCUUUGCAUUGGGCUGUUGACCGUGGCCACCUCAACAUUGUGGAGUUGCUUGUCAGCAGGAAUGCUGAUGUGAAUGCUAAGGAUAGUGAGGGUCAAACUCCAUUGCAUUAUGCGGCAGUCUGUGACAGAGAAGCAAUUGCUGAGUAUCUGGUGAAGCAUAACGCAGGCAUUGAUGUGAAAGACAAUGAUGGAUGCAGCCCUAGUGACUUAUGCGAGUCAAACUGGUCUUGGAUGUCCUGUUCAUCAUCUGAAAAACCGAUUGGCUGAUGGUUUCCUUCUGUCUUCCACACUGGAAAAUUUUCUACAGCAUAUAUAAUAACUAAAAGGAUACGGCGUUGACAUAAUACAGUGUGUGAUUCCCAUUGUUUGAUGCAUACAAUGCUUUUCCUGAAAUACUUUCAAGAGGGCAUUGAAGAAGCGGAUUCAUUGCGGCUUGGUCUGGUUGCAAGUAGAAGGGAGGGAAGUGAAAUUGAUUUAAGAAAUUUAAAGGAAAUUUUUGUAAUUUUUAGCUCCUAUGAUUGUGUAAUCUGCUUAAAACUACAAUAUUUGAUAAUUAUGCUUUUCACAUGUAAUUUUUAUUUUACUAUUCAAAUCCAAGGGAUAUAGUUGUAAAGUUUAAUAACUAAAUUUGAAAUCAUUAGGAGUUUGUUGCAAAUUCAUUAGGUGAUGACAGCAAAACUUUCCAUAUUAGUUUUGAUUUAAUUUCACUUCCUUUCCUUUUA